rnacentral:lncRNA from 1 species
GAUCUUCUCAGCUUAGCGGCUGAAGACUGACACUGCCCGAUCGCCUCGGAAGCCCACUAGACCAUCACGGACGCCGAGCUUCGGGUAACUCUCACAGUGGAAGGUAAGCCCGUCCCCUUCUUAAUCAAUACGGAGGCUACACACUCCACAUUACCUUCUUUUCAAGGACCUGUUUCCCUUGCCUCCAUAACUGUUGUGGGUAUUGACGGCAAGGCUUCUAAACCUCUUAAAACUCCCCAACUCUGGUGCCAACUUAGACAAUACUCUUUUAAGCACUCCUUUUUAGUUAUCCCCACCUGCCCAGUUCCCUUAUUAGGCUGAGACACUUUAACUAAAUUAUCUGCUUCCCUGACUAUUCCUGGACUACAGCUAUAUCUCAUUGCUGCCCUUCUUCCCAAUCCAAAGCCUCCUUUGCAUCCUCCUCUUGUAACACCCCACCUUAACCCACAAGUAUAGGAUACCUCUACUCCCUCCUUGGCAACCGAUCAUGCACCCCUUACCAUCUCAUUAAAACCUAAUCACCCUUACCCCCCAAUGCCAAUAUCCCAUCCCGUAGCACGCUUUAAAAAGAUUAAAGCCUGUUAUCACUCGCCUGCUACAGCAUGGCCUUUUAAAGCCUAUAAACUCUCCUUACAAUUCCCCCAUUUUACCUGUCCUAAAACCAGACAAGCCUUACAAGUUAGUUCAGGAUCUGCGCCUUAUCGACCAAAUUGUUUUGCCUAUCCACCCCGUGGUGCCAAACCCAUAUACUCUCCUAUCCUCAAUACCUGCCUCUAUAACCCAUUAUUCUGUUCUAGAUCUCAAACAUGCUUUCUUUACUAUUCCUUUGCACCCUUAAUCCCAGCCUCUCUUCACUUUCACUUGGACUGACCCUGACACCCAUCAAGCUCAGCAAAUUACCUAGGCUGUACUGCCACAAAGCUUCACAGACAGCCCCCAUUACUUCAAUCAAGCCCAAAUUUCUUCCUCAUCUGUUACCUAUCUCGGCAUAAUUCUCAUAAAAACACACGUGCUCUCCCUGCCAAUCGUGUCUGACUGAUCUCUCAAACCCCAGUACCUUCUAUAAAACAACAACUCCUUUCCUUCCUAGGCAUGGUUAGCGUGGUCAGAAUUCUUACACAAGAGCCAGGACCACACCCUGUAGCCUUUCUGUCCAAACAACUUGACCUUACUGUUUUAGCCUAGCCCUCAUGUCUGCGUGCAGUGGCUGCCACUGCAUUAAUACUUUUAGAGGCCCUCAAAAUCACAAACUAUGCUCAACUCACUCUCUACAGUUCUCAUAACUUCCAAAAUCUAUUUUCUCCUCAUACCUGAUGCAUGUACUUUCUGCUUCCCGGCUCCUUCAGCUAUACUCACUCUUUGUUGAGUCUCCCACAAUUACCGUUGUUCCUGGCCCAGACUUCAAUCCGGCCUCCCACAUUAUUCCUGAUACCACACCUGACCCCCAUGACUGUAUCUCUGAUCCACCUGACAUUCACCCCAUUUCCCCAAAUUUCCUUCUUUCCUGUUCCUCACCCUGAUCACCCUUGAUUUAUUGAUGGCGGUUCCACCAGGCCUAAUCGCCACACACCAGCAAAGGCAGGUUAUGCUAUAAUACAAGCCACUAGCCCGCCUCUUAGAACCUCUCAUUUCCUUUCCAUCCUGGAAAUCUAUCCUCAAGGAAGUAACUUCUCAGUGUUCCAUCUGCUAUUCUACUACUCCUCAGGGAUUAUUCAGGCCCCCUCCCUUCCCUACACAUCAAGCUCGAGGAUUUGCCCCCACCCAGGACUGGCAAAUUAGCUUUACUCAACAUGCCCUGAGUCUGAUAACUAAAAUACCUCUUAGUCUAGGUAGAUACUUUCACUGGAUAGGUAGAGGCCUUUCCUACAGGGUCUGAGAAGGCCACCGCAGUCAUUUAUUCCCUUCUGUCAGACAUAAUUCCUCAGUUUAGCCUUCCCACCUCAAUACAGUCUGAUAACAGACCAGCCUUUAUUAGUCAAAUCAGCCAAGCAGUUUUUCAGGCUCUUAGUAUUCAGUGAAACCUUUACAUCCCUUACGGUCCUCCGUCUUCAAGAAAAGUAGAACGGACUAAAGGUCUUUUAAAAACACACCUCACCAUGCUCAGCCACCAACUUAAAAAGGACUGGACAAUACUUUUACCACUUUCCCUUCUCAGAAUUUAGGGCUGUCCUCGGAAUGCUACAGGGUAUAGCCCAUUUGAGCUCCUGUAUAGACGCUCCUUUUUAUUAGGCCCCAGUCUCAUUCCAGACACCAGACCAACUUAGACUGUGCCCCCAAAAAAACUUGUCAUCCCUACUAUCUUCUGUCUAGUCAUACUCCUAUUCACCAUUCUCAACUACUCAUACAUGCCCUGCUCUUGUUUACACUGCCAGUUUACACUGUUUUUCCAAGCCAUCACAGCUGAUAUCUCCUGGUGCUAUCCCCAAACUGCCACUCUUAACUCUUGAAGUAAAUAAAUAAUCUUUGCUGGCAGAACUAUGCUGAAUCUCCUUAGGCACUCUCUAAUCAGAUAUCCUGAGUCGUCCCAAUUCUUAGACCUUUUAUACCGGUUUUUCUUCUUCUGUUUUUCCAUUUAGUUUCUCAAUUCAUCCAAAACCGUAUCCAGGCCAUCACCAAUCAUUGUAUACGACAAAUGUUUCUUCUAACAUCCCCACAAUAUCACCCCUUGCCACAAGACCUCCCUUCAGCUUAAUCUCUCCCACUCUAGGUUCCCAUGCUGCCCCUAAUCCCGCUUGAAGCAGCGCUGAGAAACAUUUCCCAUUCUCUUCUCUCCAUAUCACCCA